UGAUGAUGAUGAUGAUGAUGAUGAUGAAGAAGUUUCAGACAUUUCUGCAGAUUCAUCCCAGCUCAUGUAGCCAAGCAACGUGUGGUGUAACCGAGGAAUGUGUCACCUGAUAAACGAUGGGACAGAGGGACAGACGGUCAGACAGUCACGGCUGCUUCUCCGGAGCAUCCUGUCAACAGCGCCCCACCACUUCCUUCCCUCCAAAGAUAAGCUUAUCGUCAUCACACCGCUGGAAAAAUCCUGAGCUGUCUCUGCUGGACAUGAAAGUCAAGUGCAGUUUCCUCAUGCUAUUCAAUAAAGGUCACAUCAUCACUCAGGCUGAGGAUGACUGGAAUAAUGAGCUCUGAAGAAAACGGGAAAAAAAGUCUUUAAUUCCAAAGGUGCUCUGCUGCUUGCAGCCCCCCCUGCAGCCCUACAACGCCACCAAGUGUUUCAAAGCUGAAUGCAGUGACUUCAGAUGUGGAUUUAUGAAAAUGCCUUCUGUCCUCUUAAUUACAAAGUUAUUAUCUUGUUUAUUCAUCUUAAAUUGACUACUACUUUACUAUACUUUGGUUUAACUGUUUCAGAUUAUUUUAGGGCAGAUGAUAAAUUGGAUUUACUUAUGUAUUUUUGUAGCAGCUGUUAUCAAAAUUGUAUAUAAUUCUAUGCUUCUAACAAUGGGAGAUAACAGGUGUGUGAAGUGCAGACUGGAUAAAGGUCAGGAGGGAAGAUACAGUGAUAAUAAUUUCAAAAUAAUAACCUAGAGUCAUGACCAUCCUCUGUGUGCCAUGUGAUAACAGGAGGGAUAGUGGAUUCAAAGAGUUUAAAGCAACAGCUCUGGUUUCUCCAGUGACAUCUUGAAAUAAUUAUUUUCCUUUGCCCUACAAAAUGAAUUGUAAGCGUCUUAACAAAUGAACACACACACGUUUCCAGAUUUGCCGUCAGAAAGAAAGGCCUUUAUUUAAAGAGUAAAAAGGCACAGGACACUCCUCCCUUUUUCUUUCACUGCUGUGAAGUCUUCCAACCUCCAAGUAAAUCAUAGACAUUUGGAAAACAUCGUCAAAUGUUUCAUCUAACACAACCUUUCACACCAAGCAACAAAUCUUAAAAAUAAAAGUCAUUUAAAACAACAUGUGAGACGUUCUGAGAACACAAAAGAAUACCCCCCCCCC